rnacentral:rRNA from 1 species
UGCAGUCGAGCGGCAGCACAGAGGAGCUUGCUCCUUGGGUGGCGAGUGGCGGAAGGGUGACGAAUACAUCGGACUCUACUUUGUCGUGGGGGAUUACGUAGGGAAGCUUACGCUAAUACCGCACACCACCUACAGGUGAAAGCAGGGGACCUUCGGGCCUUGCGCGAUUGAAUGAGCCGAUGUCGGAUUAUCUAGUUGGCGGGGUAAAGGCCCACCACGGCCACUAUCCGUACCUAGUCUGAGAGGAUGAUCAGCCACACUGGAACUGAGACACGGUCCAGACUCCUACCGGAGGCAGCAGUGGGGAAUAUUGGACAAUGGGCCCAAGCCUGAUCCACCCAUACCGCGUGGGUGAAGAAGGCCUUCGGGUUGUAAAGCCCUUUUGUUGAGGAAAAAAUCCAACUGGCUAAUACCCGGUUGGGAUGACUGUCCCCAAAGAAUAAGCACCGGCCAACUUCGUGCCACCAGCUGCGGUAAUACGAAGGGUGCUAGCGUUACUCGGAAUUACUGGGCGUAAAGCGUGCGUACGUGGUCAUUUAAAUCCGUUGUGAAAGCCCUGAGCUCAACCUGUGAACUGCAGUGGAUACUGGGCGACUAGAGUGUGGAUAGGGUAACAGAAUUUCCUGGUGUGCAUUGAAAUGCGUAAAGAUCAAGAGAACAUGCGUAGCCAAGCUGCUACCUGACCUACAGUGAACUGAGCACGAAAGCGUGGAGAGCAGACAAGAUACAUGCCUGGUAGUCACGACCUAACGAUCAACUGGAUGUCGAUGCAAAUUGGCUGCACUAUCGUAGCUGACGCGAUACGUCGCGGCAGGGGGAGU